GGAAAUGAGCAAAGAAUCGCAUUAUCUGUUCUCUUUCUGUAGCAAUAGGGUGUAAACCUGUCUGAUUCAACCCCACAAAUAAACAGGCAAUUUUAACAGCCUUCCUGACGAAAACACUUGAAAGUAUAGCUAAUGAUGGGGAACACUGACGGCUUUGAGAACUUUCUUUGGUAAUAAGCAGUGAAAAAAGAUGAAUGGAGGAAAAUAGGAAGGUCAGAGACGCAGUCAAGGUUGAACAGAGUGUAAGUACAAACACCCUCAACAGUUGGCUGGGUUCUUGCUGUAUCUAACCAACGCUGGCGCACUGGGGGCACGUGGCCUUGGUGAGGCAUGCAUGAUGCACGGGAGUUUUCUGAGGAUGAUCUUUCAAAAGCCCACACUAGAGUAGAUGGCGCUUCUGAAAAAUGAAUGCCCGUAUUUGAUAGGAGACUCUCACGUCUAUAUCGUGACAGGAGAACAUUUUGAAAGCCAAUCUUUGUAAUGACUGCAAUAAAAACCACUUUAUGUGAUUCUGUACUAAUAUAAUUAGUAUGAUUCAUUUUUCAGGAAGCUGUCAGACCUGUGUAUUCACCUGUAGGGUGUGGCUAUUCUGGGAUUACUGAGGAACCGGAUCAUGGUCCGAGGUGCACCAACACUGCAAUAAAUUAGCGGCAGAAGAUUUUCACAGGAGGAAACAGGAGAAGGCACUUCAGGCAGAGAAGCCAGCAGACACAAAGGCCGACAGUGUCUGGGGAGGAUGAAGACCUGCCUGAUCCAGCUGCAGGGGGGCGGUGGGGGGGGGGGUCGUGCUGGCAGGGAAGCGUGGAGGCAGACCAGGGAGCGCCUUGAAUACCACGCCAAUGCCUCCAUCUGCCUUCCUCUCGACCGUGUGUGAACCACGGGGAAAGUGUCCGG